UAAUUGAAGAGUUUGAUCAUGGCUCAGAUUGAACGCUGGCGGCAGGCCUAACACAUGCAAGUCGAGCGGUAACAGGAGAAAGCUUGCUUUCUUGCUGACGAGCGGCGGACGGGUGAGUAAUGUAUGGGGAUCUG
rnacentral:rRNA from 1 species